rnacentral:rRNA from 1 species
GCAAGUAGCCAUAUCACUCUGCAAAUCACAACUGGCUAUCCUCUUAAGCUAAGCAGGUGUGAGCCUGGUCAGUACCUGGAUGGGAGACCUCCUGGGAAAAACUAAGGUUGCUGCUGGAA